GAAAGACUUUCCAUAAACAAAAUUGUGAAAAGGCAGGAGGUAUCUUUGUCAUUUCGACAAGCAUCAGCUAACAGUGUAUUUUAUAAACCAGGUCUUAAUCAGAACUCUUCUAGACCUUAUAGCCGGUUAUGGUGAAUCCUCUGCCAACAAUCUCGCCUACGCAGAACCACGCAUAAAGCUCAACUCCAAAUAAUGUCACAAUUCCAAGGUCCUCUACCUUGAGCUCCUUUCUAUUCUUCCAUACCUGCUUGACACCAUCAAAUUCCUUCCAAAAUGCCUCAUAGCGGCCUGGCAAACUGGCGAGGCGGGUGUAGAAGAGCUGCUUGGAGAGCUCCUGGCACUUCUCCACGGUGGGUGGCUGCACCACGUGCUGCU
rnacentral:misc_RNA from 1 species